UACGUAGGGUGCAAGCGUUAAUCGGAAUUACUGGGCGUAAAGCGUGCGCAGGCGGUUUUGUAAGUCUGUCGUGAAAGCCCCGGGCUCAACCUGGGAAUUGCGAUUGGAGACUGCAAGGCUUGAAUCUGGCAGAGGGGGGUAGAAUUCCACGUGAGCAGUGAAAUGCGUAGAGAUGUGGAGGAACACCGAUGGCGAAGGCAGCCCCCUGGGUCAAGAUUGACGCUCAUGCACGAAAGCGUGGGAGCAAACAG
rnacentral:rRNA from 1 species